rnacentral:rRNA from 1 species
GACGAACGCUGGCGGCGUGCUUAACACAUGCAAGUCGAACGGAAAGGCCCUGCUUUUGUGGGGUGCUCGAGUGGCGAACGGGUGAGUAACACGUGAAUAACCUGCCCUUGACUUUGGGAUAACUUCAGGAAACUGGGGCUAAUACCGGAUAGGAGCUCCUGCUGCAUGGUGGGGGUUGGAAAGUUUCGGCGGUUGGGGAUGGACUCGCGGCUUAUCAGCUUGUUGGUGGGGUAGUGGCUUACCAAGGCUUUGACGGGUAGCCGGCCUGAGAGGGUGACCGGCCACAUUGGGACUGAGAUACGGCCCAGACUCCUACGGGAGGCAGCAGUGGGGAAUAUUGCACAAUGGGCGGAAGCCUGAUGCAGCAACGCCGCGUGCGGGAUGACGGCCUUCGGGUUGUAAACCGCUUUCGCCUGUGACGAAGCGUGAGUGACGGUAAGGGGUAAAGAAGCACCGGCUAACUACG